AUUUUGCUUCUCUCUGCCCAAGCCUGUGGUCCAAGGUGCAGGGAUCUCACAGGAAAACAGAGGUUUUUCAUUAGUCAAUACAGUGAAGGCUGGCAUGAUCAUCAGCUUCCCAUCCAAUAAUAUCUACUCAUCAGUGUGCUGUUGUCAAUCAGAGAUUUUCAAGUAUGAGUUCUCCAACUCAAAGAAAAGUAGCUGGAUCCAGGAAGAAAGGCAUUUGGGGAAGAACAACGUUCUUUACAGUGCUCAUGAUGUGUCUCCAGAGAAAGUUACUUCAGCACUAAAAAAAACAAACAAACAAACAACAACAAUAAACAACUUUCCUCUACAGUAUCUUCCAGGGUCUAAACUAUUAGACAGGUUCCUAAGUUUAUCCAGAUCUCUCCUAUGUCUGAAUUCUUGGUCAUCUUCCUUGCCUCUGGCUCCACAGGUAAAGAAGAAAUAAUAAUAAAGGAACAAAAAUUAUAUGUUUCAGGCCGGGCGCGGUGGCUCACGCCUGUAAUCCCAGCACUUUGGGAGGCCGAGGCGGGUGGAUCAUGAGGUCAGGAGAUCGAGACCAUCCUGGCUAACAAGGUGAAACCCCGUCUCUACUAAAAAUACAAAAAAUUAGCCGGGCGCGGUGGCGGGCGCCUGUAGUCCCAGCUACUCGGGAGGCUGAGGCAGGAGAAUGGCGUGAACCCGGGAAGCGGAGCUUGCAGUGAGCCGAGAUUGCGCCACUGCAGUCCGCAGUCCGGCCUGGGCGACAGAGCGAGACUCCGUCUCAAAAAAAAAAAAAAAAAAAA
rnacentral:lncRNA from 1 species